rnacentral:rRNA from 1 species
GAUGAACGCUGGCGGCGUGCCUAAUACAUGCAAGUCGAGCGAACGGACGAGAAGCUUGCUUCUCUGAUGUUAGCGGCGGACGGGUGAGUAACACGUGGAUAACCUACCUAUAAGACUGGGAUAACUUCGGGAAACCGGAGCUAAUACCGGAUAAUAUUUUGAACCGCAUGGUUCAAAAGUGAAAGACGGUCUUGCUGUCACUUAUAGAUGGAUCCGCGCUGCAUUAGCUAGUUGGUAAGGUAACGGCUUACCAAGGCAACGAUGCAUAUCCGACCUGAGAGGGUGAUCGGCCACACUGGAACUGAGACACGGUCCAGACUCCUACGGGAGGCAGCAGUAGGGAAUCUUCCGCAAUGGGCGAAAGCCUGACGGAGCUACGCCGCGUGAGUGAUGAAGGUCUUCGGAUCGCAAAACUCUGUUAUUAGGGAAGAACAUAUGUGUAAGUAACUGUGCACAUCUUGCCUGUACCUUUUUCUAAAGUCCCGGCUAACUACGUGCCUAUCGCCGCGUGAUUACCUAGGUGGCACGCGUUAUCCUGACUUAUUGGGCAUAAAGUCCGCGUAUGACGGUUUUUUAGUCUGAUGUGAAAGCCCACGGCUCUUCCGUGGAGGGUCAUUGGAAACUGGAAAACUUGAGUGCAGAAGAGGAAAGUGGAAUUCCAUGUGUAGCGGUGAAAUGCGCAGAGAUAUGGAGGAACACCAGUGGCGAAGGCGACUUUCUGGUCUGUAACUGACGCUGAUGUGCGAAAGCGUGGGGAUCAAACAGGAUUAGAUACCCUGGUAGUCCACGCCGUAAACGAUGAGUGCUAAGUGUUAGGGGGUUUCCGCCCCUUAGUGCUGCAGCUAACGCAUUAAGCACUCCGCCUGGGGAGUACGACCGCAAGGUUGAAACUCAAAGGAAUUGACGGGGACCCGCACAAGCGGUGGAGCAUGUGGUUUAAUUCGAAGCAACGCGAAGAACCUUACCAAAUCUUGACAUCCUUUGACAACUCUAGAGAUAGAGCCUUCCCCUUCGGGGGACAAAGUGACAGGUGGUGCAUGGUUGUCGUCAGCUCGUGUCGUGAGAUGUUGGGUUAAGUCCCGCAACGAGCGCAACCCUUAAGCUUAGUUGCCAUCAUUAAGUUGGGCACUCUAAGUUGACUGCCGGUGAUAAACCGGAGGAAGGUGGGGAUGACGUCAAAUCAUCAUGCCCCUUAUGAUUUGGGCUACACACGUGCUACAAUGGACAAUACAAAGGGCAGCGAAACCGCGAGGUCAAGCAAAUCCCAUAAAGUUGUUCUCAGUUCGGAUUGUAGUCUGCAACUCGACUACAUGAAGCUGGAAUCGCUAGUAAUCGUAGAUCAGCAUGCUACGGUGAAUACGUUCCCGGGUCU